AAGCUAUAGCGAACAGAGGUGUUGACGAGCUGCUUAGUCUUAACAAUUCGCGAAGUAGUUUGAAGGAUAGGGUAAUAGUUAGCGAGCGAAUUAACCAACGCGGAAGGCAGAAUCGAAACCUUGGCCAAUUUUGCGACAGAGACGAGCAAUGCGGUAUCUUCUUUUGUUGUGUAUUUCGUCUACGGUCAGCGAGAUGCCGGUGGCGGCCUAGCCGAGGCGAACGCUGCUCCGUAUUGCCGACACCAAGGGGCUACCAUAUAGGGUAUUGCCCUUGUAUGGCGGGGGCAGAAUACUGCCGUCACGGUAGAUGUAUGUAAGACAAGUUCAUUGGCCUGUUUUCUGUGGACAAGCAAGGCAGGUGCAUUAAGUACAAAGCGAAUGAUUAUGCAUUUAGUGAAAGAGAAUAUGGCUGCUGAUUGGUGACAAAUACGAUGUAAUAUAAUCUCGUGUACUGUUUUUAAUCCUGGGUUUAAUACGGCUGACUCCGGCGUACUCGCUGCUGGUGUCUGUAUGGGAAUGGGAAA